rnacentral:rRNA from 1 species
UGGGGAAUUUUGGACAAUGGGCGAAAGCCUGAUCCAGCAAUGCCGCGUGUGUGAAGAAGGCCUUCGGGUUGUAAAGCACUUUUGUCCGGAAAGAAAUCCUCUGGGUUAAUACCUCGGGGGGAUGACGGUACCGGAAGAAUAAGCACCGGCUAACUACGUGCCAGCAGCCGCGGUAAUACGUAGGGUGCAAGCGUUAAUCGGAAUUACUGGGCGUAAAGCGUGCGCAGGCGGUUUGCUAAGACCGAUGUGAAAUCCCCGGGCUCAACCUGGGAACUGCAUUGGUGACUGGCAGGCUAGAGUAUGGCAGAGGGGGGUAGAAUUCCACGUGUAGCAGUGAAAUGCGUAGAGAUGUGGAGGAAUACCGAUGGCGAAGGCAGCCCCCUGGGCCAAUACUGACGCUCAUGCACGAAAGCGUGGGGAGCAAAACAGGAUUAGAUACCCUGGUAGUCCACGCCCUAAACGAUGUCAACUAGUUGUUGGGGAUUCAUUUCCUUAGUAACGUAGCUAACGCGUGAAGUUGACCGCCUGGGGAGUACGGUCGCAAGAUUCAAAACUCAAAGGAAUUGACGGGGUCAUAGCUGUUUCCU